UGGCGGCGUGCCUAAUCAUGCAAGUCGAGCGCAGGAAGCUCACGGAACUCUUCGGAGGGAAGUGAAGGGAAUGAGCGGCGGACGGGUGAGUAACACGUAAGGAACCUGCCCCAAGGAUUGGGAUAACUCCGAGAAAUCGGAGCUAAUACCGAAUAGUUCUUCAGACCGCAUGGUCUGAUGAUGAAAGGCGCUCCGGCGUCACCUUGGGAUGGCCUUGCGGUGCAUUAGCUAGUUGGUGGGGUAAUGGCCCACCAAGGCGACGAUGCAUAGCCGACCUGAGAGGGUGAUCGGCCACACUGGGACUGAGACACGGCCCAGACUCCUACGGGAGGCAGCAGUAGGGAAUCUUCCACAAUGGACGAAAGUCUGAUGGAGCAACGCCGCGUGAGUGAUGAAGGUUUUCGGAUCGUAAAACUCUGUUGUAAGGGAAGAACAAGUACGAGAGGUAAUGCUCGUACCUUGACGGUACCUUGCGAGAAAGCCACGGCUAACUACGUGCCAGCAGCCGCGGUAAUACGUAGGUGGCAAGCGUUGUCCGGAAUUAUUGGGCGUAAAGCGCGCGCAGGCGGCCUUUUAAGUCUGAUGUGAAAGCCCCCGGCUCAACCGGGGAGGGUCAUUGGAAACUGGAAGGCUUGAGUACAGAAGAGAAGAGUGGAAUUCCAUGUGUAGCGGUGAAAUGCGUAGAGAUGUGGAGGAACACCAGUGGCGAAGGCGACUCUUUGGUCUGUAACUGACGCUGAGGCGCGAAAGCGUGGGGAGCAACAGGA
rnacentral:rRNA from 1 species